rnacentral:rRNA from 1 species
CCCUUAGAUGUUCUGGGCCGCACGCGUGCUACACUGAGUAAAUCAAUGGGUAAGGGAACACGAAAGUGCAACCUAAUCUUGAAAUUUGCUCGUGAUGGGGAUCGACGGUUGCAAUUUUCCGUCGUGAACGAGGAAUACCUUGUAGGCGCGUGUCAUCAUCACGCGCCGAAUACGUCCCUGCCCUUUGUACACACCGCCCGUCGCUCCUACCGAUUGAGUGAUCCGGUGAGGCUUUGGGAUCUGAGCGGAAAGAGCGUUUCGCUGUUUCUGCUCGGAAAACUCAGUCGAACCUUAUCAUUUAGAGGAAGGAGAAGUCGUAACA